AAUCACGUAACAAUUGUUUUGAGCUGAAGACAGCAGAGGAACAUGAGGAUACCCUGUACUUCUCAGGAGGAUAGGAACAUCAGAUUUGGAAUGGGUAGGUCACAGGAAUUUCUCCAGAUGAAUUUGCUGAUGCUUUUCCUUGCAGGGUGCUUUGGUGGGCUCUUCUGGGGACAAAAGAAAGCACAACAAAAAAAGGAAAUAAAUGGCAUAUGCAAACC
rnacentral:lncRNA from 1 species